GAGACACCCUUAUGGGGCAGGACUUGCUUCAGUGGGGCUUUGGUGCUCACUGAGUCUGCCCCUUGAGAGUCUCACU
rfam:Myotis lucifugus cont2.47596, whole genome shotgun sequence.